rnacentral:rRNA from 1 species
CGUGCAAAGGUAGCAUAAUCACUUGUUCCUUAAUUAGGGACUUGUAUGAACGGUUAAAUGAGGGCAAAACUGUCUCCUACAGUUAAUCAAUGAACUUGAUCAUACAGUACAAACGCUGUAAUUUAUUUAUAAGACGAGAAGACCCUGUGGAGCUUUAAACUUCUACAUUAAUUUAAAACUAACAUAAUGUAAAAUUUUAAGUUGGGGCGACUACGGAGUAAAAAAAAACCUCCAUGAAACUCGACUAAUCCUCGCCACAGAAGGCCAACAAGCCUUAACCAAAACGUUUGACCCAAUCAUAUUGAAUACCGAACCAAGUUACCCCAGGGAUAACAGCGCCAUCCCCUUAAAGAGUUCACAUCGCCAAGGGGGUUUAC